UUUCCCCCGUCGCUCGCUUUUUUACUGUUGCACUCCUGUUGGAUGACGAUGAGCAGUGCAACAUAUAAUAGGGCACGCGGCGGCGGGAGA
rnacentral:pre_miRNA from 1 species